AUUGAACGCUGGCGGCAGGCCUAACACAUGCAAGUCGAACGAGUGGCGGACGGGUGAGUAAUGUCUGGGAAACUGCCCGAUGGAGGGGGAUAACUACCGGAAACGGUAGCUAAUACCGCAUACCAUCGGAUGUGCCCAGAUGGGAUUAGCUAGUAGUUGGGGUAAAGGCUUACCAAGGCGACGAUCCCUAGUUGGUCUGAGAGGAUGACCAGCCACACGUGAACUGAGACACGGUCCAGACUCCUACGGGAGGCAGCAGUGGGGCAUAUUGCACAAUGGGCGCAAGCCUGAUGCAGCCAUGCCGCGUGUAUGAAGAAGUCCUUCGGGUUGUAAAGUACUUUCAGCGGGGAGGCGUUACUCGCAGAAGAAGCACCGGCUAACUCCGUGCCAGCAGCCGCGGUAAUUC
rnacentral:rRNA from 1 species